rnacentral:rRNA from 1 species
ACACUCCUGCGGGAGGCAGCAGUGGGGAAUAUUGGACAAUGGGCGCAAGCCUGAUCCAGCCAUGCCGCGUGAGUGAUGAAGGCCCUAGGGUUGUAAAGCUCUUUCACCGGUGAAGAUAAUGACGGUAACCGGAGAAGAAGCCCCGGCUAACUUCGUGCCAGCAGCCGCGGUAAUACGAAGGGGGCUAGCGUUGUUUGGAUUUACUGGGCGUAAAGCGCACGUAGGCGGACUAUUAAGUCAGGGGUGAAAUCCCGGGGCUCAACCCCGGAACUGCCUUUGAUACUGGUAGUCUUGAGUUCGAGAGAGGUGAGUGGAAUUCCGAGUGUAGAGGUGAAAUUCGUAGAUAUUCGGAGGAACACCAGUGGCGAAGGCGGCUCACUGGCUCGAUACUGACGCUGAGGUGCGAAAGCGUGGGGAGCAAACAGGAUUAGAUACCCUAGUAGUCCC